rnacentral:tRNA from 1 species
CUGGUCGUAGCUCAACUUGGUGGAGCACCCGGUUCGGGGCCGGGCGGACGCGGGUUCAAAUCCCGCCGACCAGA